CAAUUAAAAUGGAAGCAUAGUGUAACAAUGCAUAUGACAGCGUCAUGAUUGGAAACGCACGUGGUAAUUAACCUUGUUUUAAUCCCUAUUUUUCCAAGACAAUCAGUAACCAACAUCCAUUUGCGAACACGUAUGUAAUGCCAGUUCAAAUACAUGAAAAUACAAAGUAUUGAUCAUAUAUCAAAACGGAAGAAUUCUGAAAAAAAUAAUUCGGCAAAGAGUUACUCUUCAAAGAAAGUUAAAAAACUGAAAAUUCCGGACUUUUAUGCUAAAACUUUAAUAUUUGCAAUUACUUUUACGUAACCCCACGUCGUCCAUGUCGUGAUUUUAACACAGCAAUGUUAAUUUUCUUUUUUCCCAAAUCAUUGCCCAUGUUUAUAUUAUUAACCACAGAUUCAAGACAUGUCCCACUGCAAAUGUUUAUUAUACCUCUUUAUAUUUUGAUCUUAUAUCUUGAAGACACUCGUGAUAGUUAAAUAGUUCAUGUCUUGUUUUUAAUUUUCAUGUGUUUCAAACAUUUUUCCAAUAGUUAUAGGUAAACGCAGACUCCAUGAAUCGCACCCAAUCAGUUGUGAGUUUUACUUUUAAAGAGCACUUUCGUCAUGUAAAACAGGACCGCAGCUCAUAAUGUAGUACGAAGUAUACUCUAACUGGAUAUGUAGAAAAGGCUCGGUGGAUAAUUUCAAAAUAAGGUAGAAGGAGAGUGCAGACAUCACACUGCGCUAUUUGAAUUUUCAUCUUUUAAGAGCAUCAUGUAACUCGAAGUGUGUUUUAAUGUUGAAAGAAACAUUUAGACACAGGUCUGACCGCAGCUUGUCGAUAGUUGUCGAUAGAUUUAUAUUAGCAGGUAAGCAGCUUAUUUCCAAAUAACCAAAAAUGUUUUAUUUUGUCAUGAUGCAUUGUUGUAUAUAUAGUCAAAGUAACAAGAACAUUUUUUUUUAAAGCAGAUGUAUAACUUUCCUUUUUGAUAGAAUAUAUAUCAAGUACUCUAUAUACAACAUCCGUUGUAUUGCAACAUCUUGUCACACCUGUCUUCAUCUGUAUAUGUAUAUCCAAAUAUAUACAAGUAAGAAUUUUCAGAUACUUAAAGAUUGUACUGAUAAUGUUUGACUAUUGUGUCUUUCAAAGAUACUUUCCACUUCCAAUUGCUAUAGAGUUUUUUUUUGUGAGUGUCACCAUUGGAGUGCUUUACGUAGCGGUGGUUUCGUGAUAUUAAGUGGUAAGACUUUAGAGAAAUUUAGCAUAAAAAUUACCUUGCAGUAAUAAAGAAGUGAAAUGAGAAUCAAAAUUAUCAGAUUUCUCAAACAUGUCCUGAAGAUAAUUUAAAUUAUAGCCUCCGUCAACAUCAAUUUACAAAAACGCCACAUUUCCGGAAAUAACUUACUGUACUUUACGGUGUAUAUCUAAAUUACUUUUCAAUUGAGGUAAUACAAGAGUAUGUAAAUAUCAGAACACAACAAGCGAGGCUUAAAGUUUUCUUGUAGGAACAUUAAGACACUAAUGGAAUCGGAGGAAUAAGAAAUAAAGUCUAUAAACGAACAGAUAGAUCAGAUAAGCAUUCGCGCAUACAAACUCAAUGUACCUAUAUUCUAAACAGUGUACCUGUUUUCGAAAUAGAAAGAACAUAAGUUUGAAUAAAUAAGUUGCUUUCCUUUCAUUCUCAAUUCAUUUAAAAGUUUAUAUCCAGUGAUUAUAACAGAUAUUGGAAUUUGUUCAUGUACCUAUGGAUCAGUAGAUAAUAUGUAAGUAUGCUCAAGAAAGAACCUGUAGAUACUUCAAGAAUAAAUUGUUAACUUUUUUCUUUAGUGUUUUUCAGGACUUUGUUGUCAUCAAAUUGUCGUUGGUAUCACACUGAGUCGUUUGGGAUGUUUACUUCUGAAGUGCUUCAUGCUGCUAGAAUACGUUUCGCACAUAGAGUCUGGUAUCAAUAGAUAACAUCAAACUUAUUUGAAGUUUAUUUGUUGAAAUACCUUCAGAAUUACCUUAUUUUAUUUGAAAUACAUUUUUGAGAUUACUGUAUUUUACACUGUACUGCAGUUAAUAUUUCUUGUCAACCUGGCAAUUUAAUAAAGGUUUAUGUAGCUUCUUUGAUAUGCAUGAAUCAAUUUAUUUAUUUUUUUCGAGAGAGUAUUUUACUUAUACAUUUCAAAAUUAAAAUCGAAGCAAAAACAAGUAGCUUUUUUCUGAUAACCCGAAACGUUGAAAUACAACGUAAAAAACGUGAAAUACAGAUUUGUUUUCGAUCGUAAAGACACAUGUGCGCCUAACUACACAGUGUGCUCGUAAUAUUGAUAAGAGUUUUUCUCAAGUACGUUUCUAGACUUAUGUUUCAUUUUUGGAAAAUACGUAUGAAGAAAAUCGCAAGAAACUUUCAAGUAACAUGAGGAAAAAAAAACAGUUACAGUUAACAUGAAUCGUUUCUGAAUAAUCACAGACAUAGAUAUUUUCUUCAUUGUGUACCUUAAAUAAACCUUUAAAAGUUACACUCUCUCCCGAAAUAUUUUACUAUUACACAUAAUUAUGUUGAGACAUUUCAAGUUUUUUCAAAACCUCAUGUGAAAAUCCAGGAUUUAAUUAUGUACGUUACUAUUUUAUAAAACUACGAGAGACAACAAUACAUUGUUGGCAAAUUAUUUUUUAUGUUAUUUUUAACCUUAGACAUGCCUGAAAAUCAGGGUUCGGUUUUUUACCUAAUUGCUUCGUACCCAAUUAAAUUUGUAUGCAUGCUUAUAAAUGGUUCGGGUAUGCAGAUUUGACUUUGAUUUGUGGCCGUGACUACAGUUAAAAUAUGCGUAUUUCGUCAACGUAAGUUACGAGUCAUGGUGUCAGCUUUUAAAAAAGAAAACGACGAUGAAAUGUGUGUCGGCGUGUGUUAAGUCGUUAUUAUGUUAACGGAAAAUGUCGGAACAUCCCGAUUCCAGUGUCUGAUCACUUCGGCUACUUAACGGGUCUCACUUGGUAAACACCAUAAUGAGCACACGAUAUGUGAUCAACAUUUAAUUCUUACUAAUUGACAUGUCCUAUUGUUACUAUUUGACAUGUCCUAUGGAAUGCCCUAGAGGAUAACAAAACCGCAUCCC